rnacentral:rRNA from 1 species
CCUACGGGUGGCAGCAGUGGGGAAUAUUGCGCAAUGGGCGAAAGCCUGACGCAGCGACGCCGCGUGAGGGAUGAAGGUCUUCGGAUCGUAAACCUCUGUCAGCAGGGAAGAACGGUCACUGUGCUAAUCAGCAGUGAAUUGACGGUACCUGCAAAGGAAGCACCGGCUAACUCCGUGCCAGCAGCCGCGGUAAUACGGAGGGUGCGAGCGUUAAUCGGAAUUACUGGGCGUAAAGCGCUCGUAGGCGGUAUGUCAAGUCAGUGGUGAAAUCCCCGCGCUCAACGUGGGAACUGCCUGUGAUACUGGCAAACUGGAGUGUGUGAGAGGAUAGUGGAAUUCGAGGUGUAGGAGUGAAAUGCGUAGAUAUCUGGAGGAACAUCAGUGGCGAAGGCGACUAUCUGGCACAUAACUGACGCUGAGGAGCGAAAGCGUGGGUAGCAAACAGGAUUAGAUACCCCAGUAGUC